ensembl:lncRNA Gng2 G protein subunit gamma 2
UGAAAUGACCAUGCCUGUGGGUUUUAGGGUGGGAUUUCUUAGGGAAGCGAGGGAUAGUGCUUCAGGCUUGGGGGAAAUGAUUAAUGGCGGGAUUUAAUUUUCUUUUCCUCCCAGAAUGAUGGUCAGAUUUGUGACACAUUUUGUUCGGGGUGUGGGGAACCACCCUCAGUGGUAGGAAAACAAGCUGAAUGUAAGAAGUGGUUUGCUUCGCCAGCUCCGCAGUCCGGCAGGGCUGAGUUGCAGUCAGCUGGGCUGUGAAGCUGCAGUCUGGGCACCCGAGCGUGGCAGAUCCUUGUUUUGGGUUGUAAGAAGUGAAAGAUGUUAAGCCCAUUCAUUCUGAUCUGCCAGGGAGCCUCCGGCCUUGAACACUGACCAGAGUGUCUGAAGACCCUGUCCAGCUCUCCAAUGGCCAGCAACAACACCGCCAGCAUAGCGCAAGCCAGGAAACUGGUCGAGCAGCUGAAGAUGGAAGCCAGCAUCGACAGGAUAAAGGUGUCCAAGGCAGCUGCAGACUUGAUGGCCUACUGUGAGGCACAUGCCAAGGAAGAUCCCCUGCUGACCCCAGUCCCGGCCUCAGAAAAUCCCUUUCGGGAGAAGAAGUUCUUCUGCGCCAUCCUUUAAGUCUCUGAGAGGAGGCUGAAGAUGGUCGGGGCUCCCGGGACAUUGAUGUAGAGUUCCUAGCAGAGUGGGCGCCUUUCUCGUCCGCAGCAUUUAAAGAGAGGAAGGAGAACCAUCCUGGACACUCCGGGCUGUGCAUGUUUAAAGAACUGUCCCCUCAUGAGAAUGAAAGCUUGAUUCCAUGUCCUAACUUUAGAGAUCUGACCCUGCAGACCGGCCUGGAGGAGGGGAGUGUAUAAAAAAAACGAGAUUGGUGUCACUUCUUUUCUGCUACCCCCCCACCCCCCAGGACCUUACAUUUCUGCUUCAUAUUUAUAAACAAACAAAAUAAACAUUAAAGCUGGUGUCCUGAGCUGAGAUAUGGCUGACAUCCUGGGAAUGAGAAUUGUCCUUCAAGUACCCUCUGAUAAGAUGUCGCCCUGUGUAGCCACAGUCCAGUUUAAUGGCUUCCACGUUUAUAGUCUUUUGUGCCUUUUUCUUUUCCUUCCCUUUCUCUUUCUCUACCCCUCUCUGUUAGAGGACUGGGGGGAUUAGGCUGGGUUUGUGUGUUAGACUCACCUCCAAGGAGGAGAUGUUUAGAAAGAUGUUUCCCCAUGGGAUUUCUUCAUGAGAAUAACGAUAAGAAAACAAAGAAAUCAUACCACACACACGCACAUGCACGCACGCACACACACCACAAUGCCGGCUCUCUGUGUGUCCCCUUACCACUAUUCUCAAUAUUUGUAUAUGAUAGUUUCGAUUCUGCGAGUAAAAGUAAAUCAUGUGUUGUGACCGGUGCUUUCAUAUCCGUGGUAGUUUUUGAGUGACACUGCAUGAACAUGUCCCUACAUCGCAUCCAUUCAGAAGUUUCAUUGUUUAGCUGGAAAACUAAUAAGAGAAGUGAGAGAAAAAGAGGCCAGGGAGUGGGGGGAAAUCCUCUGUACUUUGAUAAUCGAAUCACUUCAACGCCUUAGCCAUGCCUGAAAUACCUCCUAGUGACCUGUGGUGUUAAGUACCCGGACCCACGGCAUUCGGGCUCACCCGGGAUCCAGGGCAGCUGGGUUACUCCUGCACUGGAGACCAGGCAGGUGUCCAUGGUGGCUUGGGAAGGCACUGUCAGAAUAUAACAUCAGCCCGUUCCCGCUUCCAGGAACCGUGGAAAGCAUGUGCAAAGGAACGCUUUCCAUGUUCAUAGAUAGCUAGGCAACCACAGCCCUCUAUAGUUCAAGCAUCAGAAGAAGUAAGCCCAUGGCUCCAAGGGAGGCGGCCAGCCUUGGGAUGCUUGUUGUUUAAGAAACAAAGUCCCCGAAUUGUGCUCUGAGCAGACCUUGUGGCUGACUCUUCUUCCGGCUGACGUGGCCCCAGUUUUUCACUUCCCCAAGAUUUCAAAGCAUUCACUGCUUUCUUCUCCACCCUGUUUCUCAGAGCCUCUCUGCCUUACUUAUAGCUCCCUCUGGCUAGUGCUCUCUUCCCACAAUAAGGCACCGGGAGCGAGUAUUUUUCAUUACAGUUAAACCCUCCGUCAGUAGCAGAAGGCCUCGGCUGCCUUCAGACUUUCUGUCACCUACGCGGUCAAGGAGAGCCUCUUACACGUACGUCUUUUUGUUUUCAAAUCCUAAAAAACCACUAAACCCAAGUAAAAUUUAUUUCCUCCUCUUGCCAUUCUCUUCCCAUUUUAAAAGUUGGUAGUACUUCUGAAGGGAAGAGACUUCCUAUGGCAAGGACACAUUUUCAAAAUAGAUUUGGUAAGAUAUUUUUCCUAACUCUUAUGGGUUUUCAGCUAAAGGAGUGAACUAUGCCCAUUUAAAGUUUCUGCCGGGGGUGGGAGAGACGAGGGUACAGGACUGAUUAUCAAUGAGCAAAUGCAAUUCUGUAACCUGAAACUUCUGUUCCGGAGGGUCUAGGGGGGUUGUUAGAGUUGGUGGGAUGCUCAUGAAGAUUUAAUGGUCAAAACAAACAGACAAAAACAAAACAAAACAAAACAAAAACCAAACCACUGUCAGCUUACAGAUAAUGCAAUUAAUAACACUGUAGAAUCCGGUAAAAGAAUCACAUUCAAAGUGAGCAGAGACAUGAACCUGUGUUCACAUGUCAACAUCCGUGACUGGGGCACUCUGUGCUGGUUGUGGGGUACACUAGGAGGAUUCCAGACUUCUGUGCAAAUUUAGAUCUCUGAAGCAGUUAAAAGGGGAACCUAAUCUUUAGAGUGCCCCUUGUACAGGUCUAGCAAUUAAACAUUCAGGAGUUGCAAAUUACUUGUGAGCAUGCCCACAGGAUAAAAGGGCAGGAAGCUCUGUCCUCUUCCACACAGAAGUUUCAGGAAAAUAUAGUCUUUUUUACAAUUUCAUAUCCUUCGGUAUGGAGCUAUGGCUGGAAUCAGUUUUGACUCAUUGAUGCUUGUGUUAAUUAAAGGGGAAAAAGGGUUUGUUUACUUGGAUUGGCUCCAAAGAGCUUAAUUCUUUCGGGAUGUCAACCACCAUUGUCACCAGCAUAAUUUUAUCGUGGGUUAACUAAUAGGAAACUUCAGUUUAACCAUUUAAGACCCUCAUUUCUCUAUACCAGGAAAAUAAUUAAAAUCUGCCCUAGAAUUAAUAAAUAAUAAAUAUCAUACUUAUAAUGCAAUGUCUAUUAAGAUACCUGAACCAUUUUAUUAUCAACUCCAAUUUAAAAUGUUUUCAAGUUUGAAAGUAAGUGUGAUGUAAGUCAAAUCAUCAGAUUUAAGAAGAAGGACAAGUAUCAUACUUUUCCCCACAUGCUUGUACUCACAUGAGUUUUGAGAAAAUCAAGCUGGUGACCUUUAGCAGAUUUUUUUUAAUGCUUUUUUCCCCCUUGGUGUUUGCUUCUAGCCAAUCCUGAAAAUGAUGAAUUAUUAUGUGUCUAUUGUGUCUCACAGGCCAACAAUUGUACCACGGUUCAGAUCGCCACACUUUUCCUGUAUAAGAUCUGUAGAAUGUGUCUUUGAAGAGGAGAAAACAGAAAAAAUGGGGGUGGGUUAUCUUAUGUUUUGAUGGGGUUUUUGCUUUUGGGGGUUUCUUGGUUGGCUGGACUUCGUUUUGUUUUGUUUUUGUUUUUGUUUUUGUUUUUUUCAAGACGGGGUCUCACUAUGUGGCUGUGGCUGUCUGGAACUUGUUCUGUAGACCAGGCUGGCCUCGAAUUCAAAGAUUCCCCCUGCCUCUGACUCUUGAGUGCUUGGGAAUAAAGGCGUGAGCUGCCACGCCCAGCUUAAAAACCUCGGAAGCAGGGAAACCUGAAUGUGAUGUGCACACCUUUAUCCCACAUGAACUGUGUGUUUGUUUUAAUAAACGGAAUUUUCAGAUUCAUUUC